rnacentral:rRNA from 1 species
GACGAACGCUGGCGGCGUGCUUAACACAUGCAAGUCGAACGGUGAAGCGCCUUCCUUUUUGGUUGGUGUGGAUGAGUGGCGAACGGGUGAGUAACACUUGAGUAACCUUCCCCCUUCUUCUGGAUAACCGCAUUAAAGUGUGGCUAAUACGGGAUAUUCUGGUUCUUUCGCAUGAUGGGUCUGGGACAGCUAUUGUUUCGGUGGGGGAUGGGCUCGCGGCCUAUCAGCUUGUUGUUGGGGUGAUGGCCUACCAAGGCGGUGAGGGGUGGACGGCCUGAGAGGGUGGACGGUCACAGUGGGACUGAGACACGGUUGGGACUGAUACGGGAGGCAGAAGUGGGGAAGAUUGAACAAUGGGGGAAAGCGUGAUGCAGGGAGGACGCGGGAGGGAUGGAGGCGUUCGGGUGGUGAAGCUCUUUGGCCAGUGAAGCAGGCCUGCCUGGUUUGUGGGUGGGGUGACGGUAGCGGGAUAAGAAGCGCCGGCUAACUACGUG